rnacentral:lncRNA from 1 species
AUUAGGGGGCUCGAAGGUAACAUUGGUGGACCAGGCCUUACUGGACCCAGGGGUUUCCAAGGAAUGCCAGGACACCCAGGACCUAUAGGAGAAAGGGGCUACUCAGGACCUGUGGGACCUACGGGUCUGCCAGGGGGGAAAGGGGAGCGAGGAGAGAAGGUGGGUUAUAGCUGAACAAUCUUUUUCUUAUUGUAACACUGACAUCAUUUAAAAGCUCAUUCCACUGAGCCACAUUUGAUCAUUGCUUUUUACUGUGCUUAAAAGCAUAAAAAAUGUAUAAAAGUAUAAUUUCAUAAUAAUACUUUGGUACUCGUUUAAAUUGUGGUUGGUGAAUGCGCUGAUGUUUAACAGGGGGAACCUCAGUCUAUGGCCAUGAUCUACAAACUGGUCACACAGGCCUGUGAGCAACUAGUGCAUAGUAAGUACUCUGGGACCUC